rnacentral:rRNA from 1 species
UGGUGGAGUGAUUUGUCUGGUUAAUUCCGUUAACGAACGAGACCUCCGCCUGCUAAAUAGUUUUGCUUACCGCUUUUGGUAGGUAUAAACUUCUUAGAGGGACUUUUGGCGAUUAGCUAAAGGAAGUUGGAGGCAAUAACA